ensembl:lncRNA
GCACGCAGAUUUGGGGGUCAAGCACAGAUGCCCUCCACAGAAGCACAGGGCCAGGGCCUGCUGAGGGUUGUAGUGCCCGAGAGCCUCCUUGGCCUCUCAAACAUCAAAGUGCCCAGGAAUCAAUACCUGUGCUCCGCCAGUAUGUCUACUGAACCAGAGCCAAUAGCAUCACCUAGAUCAUCAACAUUCAUCUUCUGGAUGACGUGUGCCAGUCAACCAUUUUCCUGUUGACCAAAAAAGAGGCUUCCAGCUCCCUGGAGGGGCAGGAACACGCAGAAACAAGACCAUAAAAGUGCAUUCCAAGCUGGAGUGAAGGGCCAUGAGGUGUCGAGGCAGGGGGAGUUUGUGGUUUCCCAGGUGGCUCUGUGGUCGAGAAUCUACCUGCCAAUGCAGGGGACACAGGUUUUAUCCCUGGGUUAAGAAGAUCCUCUGGAAGAUGAAAUGGCAACCCACUCCAGUAUUCUUGCCUGAAAAAUCCCAUGGACAGAGUUGCCUGGUGGACUGCAGUCCAUGGGGUUGCAAAGAGUCCAGCACAACUGAGUGACUGAACAUGCAUGCAUGCAUGCCCUCAUAAGAGACCCUACAGCUGGAUACAAGAAGUCUGUGACCCAGAAGAGGGCCUUCCUGAUCUUGGACUUUCAGCUUCCAGAAC